rnacentral:rRNA from 1 species
AGUGAACGCUGGCGGCGUGCCUAAUACAUGCAAGUCGAACGGAGUGGCGAACGGGUGAGUAAUACAUAGCUAAUCUGCCACUUGCUGGAGGACAACAGUUAGAAAUGACUGCUAAUACCCCAUAUCAAGGGAUGAGACUAUAUCGUAUCAGCUAGUCGGUGGGGUAACGGCCUACAGAGGCUAUGACGCGUAACUGGUCUGAGAGGAUGAGCAGUCACAUUGGAACUGAGACACGGUCAAAACUCCUACGGGAGGCAGCAGUAGGGAAUAGUGCGAAAUGGGGGAAACCCUGAAGCGGCAACGCCGCGUGAAGGAUGACACUUUUCGGAGCGUAAACGCCUUUUGUUAGGGAAGCGGUACCUAACGAGUAAGCACCGGCUAACUACGUGCCAGCAGCCGCGGUAAUAC